AUUAAAGAUGCAGGAGCGCUUUUGGGCUGGACUGCCCCUCUUCAGCUGCACAGAGAAAGUUAAGAAAAGAUAUGUCAAAAAGCUCAAAUAGUUAAUGAAAACUCAACCAUUGGAUCAUCCAAAGACUCAUGAUUUCUCGGUUGAAGUCGUUUCCUACUGCCCCCAAGACAUACCUGUUUUCAUCAAGGAAGCAUUAAGGUUUGGCCCAAACUCUGUCAUAGACUACCAGUGCAGCUUAGCUGAUACCAUUUGUGGAAUAAAAAAUCUCCUCACUGCCUUUGACUUCACUGAUGUCAAGAAACAAAAACGAGGUGGAUGGCAGUCCAUUCAUAUUUUAAAUCCAGAAGUUGGCCUAAUACAGAUCAUCUCGUGACUAAAAGAAUGAACAGUACAUAGAACAGGCUCACACAUGGCUAACUAAGGAGCAAAUCAUUGCAACUAGAGCCAACAAAAACAAAAAUAUUGUUCUUAUCCCUAAACUGGAAUAUCACAGACUACUCACUUUCUCUGUGCAGUUGAGGAGGGGCGGUCCAGCCAGGAGCGCUCCUGCAUCUUUGAUUUUAUUUUGAGGUCCU
rnacentral:lncRNA from 1 species